rnacentral:rRNA from 1 species
AGCUCCAUUAGCGUAUAUUAAAGUUGUUGCAGUUAAAAAGCUCGUAGUUGGAUUUCGGUGUGGGCCCGUCGGUCGGCCGCAAGGCCUGUUACUGACUGGUCCGCUCUUCCUCUCAAAGACUGCACGUGCCCUUCGCUGGGUGUGUGUAUCGGAUUUGGGACGUUUACUUUGAAAAAAUUAGAGUGCUCAAAGCAGGCUUUACACGCUUGAAUAUUCGUGCAUGGAAUAAUAGAAUAGGAUGUGAUUUCUAUUUUGUUGGUUUUCGGAAAUUCACAUAAUGAUUAAUAGGGACAGUCGGGGGCAUUAGUAUUCAGACGAUAGAGGUGAAAUUCUUGGACCGUCUGAGGACUAACUACUGCGAAAGCAUUUGCCAAGAAUGUUUUCAUUAAUCAAGAACGAA